rnacentral:rRNA from 1 species
ACACAGGUGCUGCAUGGCUGUCGUCAGCUCGUGUCGUGAGAUGUUGGGUUAAGUCCCGCAACGAGCGCAACCCUCGCCCUUAGUUGCCAGCAUUCAGUUGGGCACUCUAAGGGGACUGCCGGUGAUAAGCCGAGAGGAAGGUGGGGAUGACGUCAAGUCCUCAUGGCCCUUACGGGCUGGGCUACACACGUGCUACAAUGGUGGUGACAGUGGGCAGCGAAGGAGCGAUCCCGAGCUAAUCUCCAAAAGCCAUCUCAGUUCGGAUUGCACUCUGCAACUCGAGUGCAUGAAGUUGGAAUC